CACCGAACGUCGCGCGCUGGUACAGGCGCGGUGUGAGAGGGAACCCGGUGGGAAUCCGGGACUGUCCCGCAGCGGUAUGCAGGAACGACCGCCGUCAUCAGCACUGGCCCUCCCGGGCUGGGAAGCGACGGCCACUAGGAGCACAUUGGUGCGCGCCUGCGAGUCCGAAGACCUGCCAGCCGUACCGGGCGCGC
rnacentral:ncRNA from 2 species